CUCGCCAGAAGGGCUGUGUAGGACGCUGCUUUUACUUCGAGUCGGGGGAAGUAGGACUCCUUCACUCCUUGCUUCAUGAGUGAAAUGAACUGCCAGGAUAUGUACCAUCCAGUCAUGCUUAACUGCUGGUGGAACUAGAACUGGGGAGGUAGAGGAUUGUUCUCUGAAUUUAUUUAAUUGUAAAUGAUAUCUCCUUUCUUUGAGAAUCCAUACAUGUAUACAGUGCAUUUUGAUCAUAUCCACUCACUCUUCCCAUGUGAAUUCUCCCUGGACCUUCUCAGCUCGUCUUCUCAGCUUCAUUAUCAUCUCCUCGUCCUCCCUAUCUCUCUAACCCUCCUCCUCCCAACUCACUGUGUCCCUCAGUGCUACCUGCGUGUACUUGGCUGUGAAGCCAUCCACUGGAACCUGGAGACCUAUGAGUAAUCACACUUUCCCAAAGACAGAUGAAAACUCCUCCUCUGGCAGCCAUCAGCUUCCAGUCGUUUCUCAGCCAGGGGGGAGGCCUCAAGAGCCCCUUCCCUACCCAUGCUGUGAUUUUGACUGCCUUAAUCUCAUGCGUGAGCACAGCUGUGGUGAGUCCGUGGAUAAAGUGUCACGCCAUGUCUAGAAGGCAGCAUUUUACACACUUCCUCUGUCUGUCAGCUCUUUGACUUUUCCCUCCGUGUUUUCCACAAAGUUGUCUGAGGGACAGGGUUAAUAUAAAUGAUCCAUUUAGGACAGAUCAUUCAGUCUCAGCACUUUGAGCAGGUAUGAGCCUCUGCAUCAGCUGUCGCCUGCUGUGCGUGCUUCUCUCACCGAGGCUGAGGGCCACACUAUAAUGCAGGUAUAAGCAUGUUAGAAGGAAGUUUAACAAUGUGGCCAUUUAGCAAAACAAAAGUAGUAAGUUCUCCCCUAAAGCUAUGACCUCCCCAGCCAUAAAAUUUUGACUAGCUUUAUAUUAUAUGCUGGCUAGUUUUAUGUCAACUGGACACAAGGUAGGGUCAUCUGGGAAGGUGGAUCUUUUAUACUUUAUUUAUUUAUUUAUUUAUUUAUUUAUUUAUUUAUUCACGUUAUAUCUCAAUAUCAGCUCCUUCUCUCUUUACAGUUCCUCCGCACACAGCUCCUCCCCACAUUCUCCUCUCCCUUUCUCCUCUGAGAAUGGGGAGCCUCCCACCCCUGGGUAAUUAACCUGGACCCUUGGGGCCUCCCAGAGACAGAACCACCAACCAAAGAAUGAGCUUGGACUGGACCUAGGACACCUGCACAUAUGUAGCAGAUGAGCAACUUGGUCUUCAUGCAGGUCCCCCAACAACAGGAGUGAGGGCUGUCCUUGAAUCUUUUGCCUGCCCCUGGAUCCUGUCCUCUUAGCUGGGCUGCCUUGUCUGGCCUUAGUGUGAGAGGAUGCAUCUAGUCCUGUAGUGACUUGAAGAU
rnacentral:lncRNA from 1 species